rnacentral:rRNA from 1 species
UUAAGCGACUAAGCGUACACGGUGGAUGCCCUGGCAGUCAGAGGCGAUGAAGGACGUGCUAAUCUGCGAAAAGCGUCGGUAAGGUGAUAUGAACCGUUAUAACCGGCGAUGUCCGAAUGGGGAAACCCAGUGUGAUUCGUCACACUAUCGUUAACUGAAUACAUAGGUUAACGAGGCGAACCGGGGGAACUGAAACAUCUAAGUACCCCGAGGAAAAGAAAUCAACCGAGAUUCCCCCAGUAGCGGCGAGCGAACGGGGAGCAGCCCAGAGUCUGAAUCAGCUUGUGUGUUAGUGGAACGGUCUGGAAAGUCCGACGGUACAGGGUGAUAGUCCCGUACACCAAAAUGCACAGGCUGUGAACUCGAAGAGUAGGGCGGGACACGUGGUAUCCUGUCUGAAUAUGGGGGGACCAUCCUCCAAGGCUAAAUACUCCUGACUGACCGAUAGUGAACCAGUACCGUGAGGGAAAGGCGAAAAGAACCCCGGCGAGGGGAGUGAAAAAGAACCUGAAACCGUGUACGUACAAGCAGUGGGAGCACCUUCGGGUGUGACUGCGUACCUUUUGUAUAAUGGGUCAGCGACUUAUAUUCUGUAGCAAGGUUAACCGUAUAGGGGAGCCGCAGGGAAACCGAGUCUUAACUGGGCGUUAAGUUGCAGGGUAUAGACCCGAAACCCGGUGAUCUAGCCAUGGGCAGGUUGAAGGUUGGGUAACACUAACUGGAGGACCGAACCGACUAAUGUUGAAAAAUUAGCGGAUGACUUGUGGCUGGGGGUGAAAGGCCAAUCAAACCGGGAGAUAGCUGGUUCUCCCCGAAAGCUAUUUAGGUAGCGCCUCGUGAANUCAUCUUCGGGGGUAGAGCACUGUUUCGGCUAGGGGGUCAUCCCGACUUACCAACCCGAUGCAAACUACGAAUACCGAAGAAUGUUAUCACGGGAGACACACGGCGGGUGCUAACGUCCGUCGUGAAGAGGGAAACAACCCAGACCGCCAGCUAAGGUCCCAAAGUCAUGGUUAAGUGGGAAACGAUGUGGGAAGGCACAGACAGCCAGGAUGUUGGCUUAGAAGCAGCCAUCAUUUAAAGAAAGCGUAAUAGCUCACUGGUCGAGUCGGCCUGCGCGGAAGAUGUAACGGGGCUAAACCAUGCACCGAAGCUGCGGCAGCGACACUAUGUGUUGUUGGGUAGGGGAGCGUUCUGUAAGCCUGCGAAGGUGACCUGUGAGGGUUGCUGGAGGUAUCAGAAGUGCGAAUGCUGACAUAAGUAACGAUAAAGCGGGUGAAAAGCCCGCUCGCCGGAAGACCAAGGGUUCCUGUCCAACGUUAAUCGGGGCAGGGUGAGUCGACCCCUAAGGCGAGGCCGAAAGGCGUAGUCGAUGGGAAACAGGUUAAUAUUCCUGUACUUGGUGUUACUGCGAAGGGGGGACGGAGAAGGCUAUGUUAGCCGGGCGACGGUUGUCCCGGUUUAAGCAUGUAGGCUGGUUNUGGAGCUGAGACCAGUCGAAGAUACCAGCUGGCUGCAACUGUUUAUUAAAAACACAGCACUGUGCAAACACGAAAGUGGACGUAUACGGUGUGACGCCUGCCCGGUGCCGGAAGGUUAAUUGAUGGGGUUAUCCGUAAGGAGAAGCUCUUGAUCGAAGCCCCGGUAAACGGCGGCCGUAACUAUAACGGUCCUAAGGUAGCGAAAUUCCUUGUCGGGUAAGUUCCGACCUGCACGAAUGGCGUAAUGAUGGCCAGGCUGUCUCCACCCGAGACUCAGUGAAAUUGAACUCGCUGUGAAGAUGCAGUGUACCCGCGGCAAGACGGAAAGACCCCGUGAACCUUUACUAUAGCUUGACACUGAACAUUGAGCCUUGAUGUGUAGGAUAGGUGGGAGGCUUUGAAGCGUGGACGCCAGUCUGCGUGGAGCCAACCUUGAAAUACCACCCUUUAAUGUUUGAUGUUCUAACGUUGGCCCCUUACCGGGGUUGCGGACAGUGUCUGGUGGGUAGUUUGACUGGGGCGGUCUCCUCCCAAAGCGUAACGGAGGAGCACGAAGGUUAGCUAAUCCUGGUCGGACAUCAGGAGGUUAGUGCAAUGGCAUAAGCUAGCUUGACUGCGAGCGUGACGGCGCGAGCAGGUGCGAAAGCAGGUCAUAGUGAUCCGGUGGUUCUGAAUGGAAGGGCCAUCGCUCAACGGAUAAAAGGUACUCCGGGGAUAACAGGCUGAUACCGCCCAAGAGUUCAUAUCGACGGCGGUGUUUGGCACCUCGAUGUCGGCUCAUCACAUCCUGGGGCUGAAGUAGGUCCCAAGGGUAUGGCUGUUCGCCAUUUAAAGUGGUACGCGAGCUGGGUUUAGAACGUCGUGAGACAGUUCGGUCCCUAUCUGCCGUGGGCGCUGGAGAAUUGAGGGGGGCUGCUCCUAGUACGAGAGGACCGGAGUGGACGCAUCACUGGUGUUCGGGUUGUCAUGCCAAUGGCACUGCCCGGUAGCUAAAUGCGGAAGAGAUAAGUGCUGAAAGCAUCUAAGCACGAAACUUGCCCCGAGAUGAGUUCUCCCUGAGACUUUAAGUCUCCUGAAGGAACGUUAAAGACGAUGACGUUGAUAGGCCGGGUGUGUAAGCGCAGCGAUGCGUUGAGCUAACCGGUACUAAUGAACCGUGAGGCUUAACCUU